GACGAACGCUGGCGGCGUGCUUAACACAUGCAAGUGGAGCGACGAACCGGGCUUCGGCCCGGGGCAAAGCCGCGAACGGGUGAGUAACACGUGGGUAACCUGCCCCGAUGACUGGGACAACCCGAGGAAACUCGGGCUAAUACCGGAUGUGCUCUCUUCACAUCAGUGAAGUGAGUAAAGGUAGCUUCGGCCUCCGCAUCGGGAUGGGCCCGCGGCCCAUUAGCUUGUUGGUGAGGUAACGGCUCACCAAGGCCGCGAUGGGUAGCUGGUCUGAGAGGACGAGCAGCCACACUGGGACUGAGACACGGCCCAGACUCCUACGGGAGGCAGCAGUGGGGAAUCUUGCGCAAUGCGCGAAAGCGUGACGCAGCAACGCCGCGUGGGGGAAGAAGGCCUUCGGGUUGUAAACCCCUUUCAGGAGGGACGAAGCUCCGGUCGUUAAUAGCGGUCCGGAGUGACGGUACCUCCAGAAGAAGCCCCGGCUAACUACGUGCCAGCCGCCGCCGUAA
rnacentral:rRNA from 1 species